rnacentral:lncRNA from 1 species
UUUUUUUUUCUAGGUCAAAAUGACUUAAAUACCAUAAGAGGGGCACCGGAGGUGGGCUGGGCUGAGCACAACCCACCAGGGCGCGCCUGGGGGCCCUGGCGCGCCCUGGUGUCUUGUACUCACUAGGUGGCCCCCCUCCAAUAGUUGUUUGCUCCAUUAUUUCUUAUUUAUUCCAUAAAAAUUCCUCGUGAAGUUUCAGCUCAUUUGGAGUUGUGCAGAAUAGGUGGCCUGACGUAGGUUUUUGAGGUUCAGAUUUCCAGAUGUCGUAAUUCUCCCUCUUUGUGUGAACCUUGCAUAUUAUGAGAGAAAAGGCAUUAGAAUUACUCCAAAAAGCAUUAUUAUGCAUAAAAACAAUAUAAAUAACAGUAGGUAAACAUGAUGCAAAAUGGACGUAUCAACUCCCCCAAGCUCAUACCUCGUUUGUCCUCAAGCGAAAACCAAAAUCGAAAAACAUGUCCACAUGUUUAGAGAGAGAGGUGUCGAUAAAAACAAAAUACAAACAUAGUAGCAUGAUGUAACUUAUUAUCACAUCAAUAAACAUUAACAUAAAACUUUUAUCAUAGAACUUUUAUCAUAGACUUCUCAUGAACAAGUAAAAAUUCAUCACAACAACGAAGUAUAAAGCAUAAACUCUAUUGAAAACCAACAAACUAUGUUCUUAGUCAACUUUGCAACUACAAUUCAUCAUGUUUUCAGGAAGGGUCACGUAUCGGAGCCUUUUUGGCAAGUCCACAUACUCAUUCAUCAUAUAGUCUGCUAUGAUUGUUAACACUCGCUGCAUACACAUGAGCAAAACAUUUCAACUGGACACAUAGAAAGAUAGGGACUUAUAGUUUUGCCUCCCAACAUACUCACCUAGAGGGUGAUGUCAACAAUAAUAACUCAUGCUAGCCAUACCCAACUGGAUAUAUGUGCCUAGAUCUUUCCUCGCCACAUGAUGCUUGCCAAAAGAGAAAUAUAAAAAGGAAUAGAGAGAAAAACUUUGACUCUUGCAUGAAAGUAAAUACAUAAAACUAAAAAGUAGGCCCUUCGCAGAGGGAAGCAGAGGUUGCCAUGCGCUUUUUGGUUGUAUGCUCAAUCCCUUAAUGCAAAAGAACGUCAUGUUAUAUUGCCCCUUGUGAUAGCAACCUUUAUUAUGCAGUAUGUCGCUUUUAUUCUUUGCCAUCACAAGUUCGUACAACGCUCAAUUUUAUUUUAUACUAAAUGAUCUAACACUUUUAGAAUCAAUUUUUAUUACCAUAUUGCACCAAUGACAACUUACUUGAAGGAUCUUACUCAAUACAUAGGUAGGUAUGGUGGACUCUUGAAAAUAAGAUUUUGGUUUAAGGGUUUUUGGAUGCACAAGUAGUAUCUCUACUUAGUGCGGAAUUUUUGGCUAGCAAACAUGGGGAGCAAGCACCACAUGUUGAAGGAUCUAUGACAAUAUAACUGAUGACCCACAAGUAUAGGGGAUCAAUCGUAGUCCUUUCGAUAAGUAAGAGUGUCGAACCCAAUGAGGAGCAGAAGGAAAUGACAAGCGGUUUUCAGCAAGGUAAUGUCUGCAAGCAUUGAAAUUAUAAGUAAUGAGUUAAUUUGCAACGAGCAAGUAAUGGUAACAGUAGUAAAAGUGCAGCAAGGUAGCCCAAUCCUUUUGAGGCAAAUGACAUGCCAAACCGGUCUCUUAUAAUAAGCAAAGUGUUCUUGAGGGUACACGGGAAUUUCAUCUAGUCACUUUCGUCAUGUUGGUUUGAUUUGUGUUCGCUACUUUGAUAAUUUGAUAUGUGGGUGGACCGGUGCUUAGCUGUUGUUCUUACUUGAACAAUCCUCCUACUUAUGAUUAACCCCCUCGCAAGCAUCCGCAACUAUGAGAAAAGUAUUAAGAAUAAAUUCUAACCAUAGCAUUAAACUUUUGGAUCCAAAUCAGCCACUUACAGAAUAGCGCAUAAACUAGGGUUUAAGCUUCUGUCACUCUCGCAACCCAUCAUCUAAUAACUACUCCACAAUUCAUUCCCUUAGGCCCAAGUAUGGUGAAGUGUCAUGUAGUCGACGUUCACAUGACACCACUAAGGGAAUCACAACGUACAUACUAUCAAAAUAUUGAACACAUAUAAAAUUCACAUGAUUACUUGCAACAAGAUUUCUCCCGCGACCUCAAGAACAAAAGUAACUACUCACAAAUGAUAAUCAUGCUCAAGAUCAGAGGGGUAUUAAAUAGCAUAAUGGAUCUGAAAAUAUAAUCUUCCACCAAAUAAACCAUAUAGUAAUCAAUUACAAGAUGUAAUCAACACUACUAGUCACCCACAAGCACCAAUGUAUAGUUCCGGUACAAAGAUUGAACACAAGAGAUGACCUAAGGUUUGAGAUGAGAUGGUGUUGUUGAAGAUGUUGAUGGAGAUUGCCCUCCCCAAGAUGGGAGAGUUUUUGGUGAUGAUGAUGACAGUGAUUUCCCCGGGGAAGUUCCGCCGGCGGAAUCGCUCCACCGGAGGGCAAAAGUGCUCCUGCCCAAGUUCCACCUCGAGACGGCAGCGCUUCGUCCCGAAAGUACUCUCCUUAUUUUUUCUAGGUCAAAAUGACUUAAAUACUAGAAGAGGGGCACCGGAGGUGGGCUGGGCUGAGCACAAGCCACCAGGGCGUGCCUGGGGGCUCUUGCGUGCCCUGGUGUCUUGUGCUCACUAGGUGGCCCCCCUCCGGUAGUUAUUUGCUCCAGUAUUUCUUAUUUAUUCCAUAAAAAUCAUCGUGAAGUUUCCGCUCAUUUGGAGUUGUGCAGAAUAGGUAUCCUGACAUAGCUUUUUCAGGUCCAGAUUUCCAGGUGUCGGGAUUCUCCCUCCUUGUGUAAACCUUGCAUAUUAUGAUAGAAAAGGCAUUCAAAUUACUCCAAAAGCAUUAUUAUCCAUAAAAACAAUAUAAAUAACAGUCGGUAAACAUGAUGCAAAAUGGACGUAUCAACUCCCCCAAGCUCAGACCUUACUUGUCCUCAAGCGAAAACUGAAAUCGAAAACAUGUCCACAUGCUUAGAGAGAGAGGUGUCUAUAAAAACAAAAUAUGCACAGAGAAGCAUCAUGUAACUUAUUAUAACAACAACAUAAUUUAACAUAAAACUUUUAUCAUAGAAAUUUUGCCAUAGACUUCUCAUGAACAAGUAACAAAUUUUUUUUGACAGAAAGACUGUAAGGGAACCCCCUACAGUAAAAUUGGUGCAACAAACCCAAAUUGCAAGUACCAUGCCUUGAACCUGGGUGGGUAGGAAGGCAUCAACCCCUUCCCACCACUAGGCUAUGCCUUAGUCUGCAACAAGUAACAAUUCAUCACAACAUCGAAGUAUAAAUCAUAAACUCUAUUGAAAACCAACAACUAUGUUCCCAGUCAACUUUGCAACUACAGUUCAUCAUCUUUUCAGGAAGGGUCACGUAUAGGAGCCCUUUUGGCAAGUCCACAUACUCAACCAUCAUACAGUCUUCUAUGAUUGCUAACACUCACCGCAUAUACAUGAGCAAAACGUUUCAACCGGACACAUAGAAAUAUAGGGGCUUAUAGUUUUGCCUCCCAACAUACUCACCUCAAGGGUGAUGUUAGCAAUAAUAACUCAUGCCACCCAUAUCCAACUGGAUAUAUGUGCCUAUGAAGGUAAUAUGCCCUAGAGGCAAUAAUAAAGUUAUUAUUUAUUUCCUUAAUUCAUGAUAAAUGUUUAUUAUUCAUGCUAGAAUUAUAUUAACCGGAAACUUAGUACAUGUGUGAAUACAUAGACAAAACAUAUAGUCCCUAGUAUGCCUCUACUUGACUAGCUCGUUAAUGAAAGAUGGUUAUGUUUCCUAACCAUAGACAUGUGUUGUCAUUUGAUGAACGGGAUCACAUCAUUAGGAGAAUGAUGUGAUGGACAUGACCCAUCUGUUAGCUUAGCAUUAUGACCGUGUCAGUUUGAUUGAUAUUGCUUUCUUCAUGACUUAUACAAGUUCCUCAGACUAUGAGAUUAUGCAACUCCUGAAUACUGGAGGAACAUUUUGUGUGCUACCAAAUGUCACAACGUAAAAGGGUGAUUAUAAAGGUGCUCUACAGGUGUCUCCGAAGGUGUUUGUUGGGUUGGCAUAUAUCGAGAUUAGGAUUUGUCACUCCGUGUUUCGGAGAGGUAUCUCUGGGCCCUCUCAAUAAUACUCAUCACUAUAAGCCUUGCAAAUAUUGUAACUAAUGAGUUAGUUGUGGGAUGAAGUAUUAUAGAACGAGUAAAGAGACUUGCCGGUAACGAGAUUGAACUAGGUAUGAAAAUACCGACGAUCGAAUCUCGGGUAAGUAACAUACCGAUGACGAAGGGAAUAACGUAUGUUGUCAUAAGGUUCGACUGAUAAAGAUCUUUGUAGAAUAUAUAGGAACCAAUAUGGGCAUCUAGGUUCCACUCUUGGUUAUUGACCAGAAAAGUGUCUCGGUCAUGUCUACAUAGUUCUCGAACCCGUAGGCGCACGCUUAACGUUCAUUGACGAUAUAGUAUUAUAGGAGUUAUGUAUGUUGGUGACCGAAUGUUGUUCGAAGUCCCGGAUGAGAUCACGAACAUGAGAGGAGCUCCGGAAUGGUCCAGAAGUAAAGAUUCAUAUAUUGGAUGAUAUGGUUAGGCCAAGGGGUCAGGCCCACGGGGCGAUAAGUCGGUGCAAAAGGACUUUUGCGGAGGCCAGUGGGCCAAACGCCGGAGACCUUGGCGUCUGGCCCUGGGCCAGACGCCGAGGCCCAUGGCGUCUGGGCCAGACGCCAAGGAUUUUUCGUUUGGUCCUAGAGUCCGGGUGGGACUCUUGCCUAUCGGGCAAAACCGACUUUGAGGAGGCAUUUGCUCCAAGUUUCGACCCCAGGGCUCAACAUAUAAAUAGAGGGGCAGGACUAGCAUGAAGGAUACAUCAAGAAACACCAAACCGUGUGCCGGCAACCCCGUCCCCUCUAGUUUAUCCUCCGUCAUAGUUUCCUAGUGCUUAGUCGAAGCCCUGCGGAGAUUGUUCAUCACCAACACCAUCACCACGCCGUCGUGCUACCGGAACUCAUCUACUACUUCGCCUGUCUUGCUGGAUCAAGAAGGCGAGGACGUCAUCGAGCUGAACGUGUGCUGAACAUGGAGGUGUCGUACGUUCGGUACUUGAUCGGGACGGAUCGUGAAGGUGUACGACUACAUCAACCACGUUGAUAAACGCUUCCGCUUAGCGAAUCUUCAAGGGUAUGAAGAUACACUCCCCCUCUCAUUGCUAUGCAUCACAUAGAUAGAUCUUGCAUGAUUGUAGGAAUUUUUUUGAAAUUACCGCGUUCCCCAACACCUAGAUCUUUCCUCACCACAUGAUGCUUGCCAACAGAGAAAAAAUAAAAAGGAAUAAUGAGAAAAACUUUGACUCUUGCAUGAAAGUAAAUACAUAAAAGUAAAAGAUAGGCCCUUCGCAAGGGAAGCAGAGGUUGCCAUGCACUUUUUGGUUGUAUGCUAGCGCAAAAGAAUGUCACGUUAUAUUGCCCCUUGUGAUAGCAACCUUUAUUAUGCAGUUUGUCGCUUUUAUUCUUUGCCAUCACUAGUUCGUACAACACUCAAUUUUCUCCUACACUAAAUGAUCUAACACUUUCUAAAUAAAUUUGUAUUGCCUUAUUGCACUGAUGACAACUUACUUGAAGGAUCUUACUCAAUCCUUAGGCAGGUAUGGUGGACUCUUGAAAAUAAGAUUUGGGUUUAAGGGUUUUUGGAUGCACAAGUAGUAUCUCUACUUAGUGCGGAAUUUUUGGCUAGCAAAGAUGGGGGAAAAGCACCACAUGUUGAAGGAUCCAUGGCAAUAUAACUUCUAUGUGAAUAUGAACAAACAUAAAUCAUUACAUUGUCUUCCUUGUCCAACGUCAACAAUUUUGGCAUAUAAUAUUUUGAUGGGGGCUCACAAUCACAAAAGAUUUCCAAGAUAGUGUAUUUGCAUGUGAAUCUUCUCUUCCAUUAUUAAUUCUUUCAUGAAUUGCGUCAUUUACCAAUGCUAUGUUUGUCAAUCUCCAAUAAAUUUUUCUACUUAUACUUUUCCUUAUGUGAUGUCAUUACUUACCAUAAGAUUAGCAUAUUAUCCUUUUCACUUAUUUCCUUUCUUUAUAUUUAAACAAGAAAGUAAAGAUAGUAAAACUCAAACUAAACUUUAUUAUAUAUAUCGCACACGAUUACAAGGAUAGAUCACUAAGCAAACUUUCAAAAGAAAGGAUCGAACUAAACUUGUAUUUAUCUAAAGAAAAAGAUAGCUAUGGAUCGAACUAAGAUAAGUAAAGGCAAAAGAUAGUGGAGGUGAUAUGAUACCGGGGCACCUCCCCCAAGCUUGGCACAAGCCAAGGGGAGUGCCCAUACCCGAUACUCAAUUUUCUUUGGUUGAUGAAGAAGGAGGUGGUGGUGAUGAAGUGGUAGCGAUUGACAGCCCACAAGUAUAUGGGAUUGCAACAGUUUUUGAGGGUAGAGUAUUCAACCCAAAUUUAUAGAUUCAACAGUUUUUGUGGAUGUAGGUUUGCUAUAUCAUAUUGUGUGAUUUGCCAAUACAUUUAAUGUUUUGACCCUUUGUGGCUGCAACUUAUCAUGUUGUAGGAUUUUCAGAUGAUCAGUGAGAUACAGUAGGGUCGCGAGUCUUCACUCAACAUGUUCUCCAGUGGGCAUUGAUGGACUCAUCGUUUAUUAUGCUACCUUUUCGCUGUUAUUAUUGAAUAAGUUAGUCAUGCGCUAUUCAGUCUGUAAUACUUUAUAAAUUAUGGAUCAUACGUUAUAGUAAAUGAUGCACUAGUUAUUUGAUAUUCAUAUGUACUGUGUGUGCUAGCGAGUCAAUCCAGGGACUAGCACAAUGAGCACAGAGACAUCGAAUCUUAUUAGGUUCGGGUCAUUAUAGAUGGUAUCAGAGCAGUGUGUUGACUGUAGGUCGUGACCCUAGAAAAUGGAUUAGAAAAGCCAUAGGAGUGAUAAACUUUACAAGUUGUUGUAUACUUGUUAGUUCAUACUCUUGUACUCAUACCUUUACAUUUCAAAUAUAGAUGACCCCUGGAAUUAUAUUAGUGUUAUUUAAGGAGUUUAGUUGGCAGACCACCAUUCCUAAGUUGUGUUCGAUAAAUGAUUUGCGGUAGUAUGAUGAGAUCAUAUCUCUUGUGGAUAUGACCCUACCUGUAGGUUUUGCUUGUGUUGUGUGAUAUAUCAUAUGUUUGGUUGGUCAUUGCUUUUGUGUUGUCAUAUUUCGUGGAUUGUUUGUAUUAUGCAAUUGGGUGCUUUGGUUGAUCACAUGUGCUCUUUUGAUGUGAUUGCUUUAGGAUGGCUUUGGUGACUUGUGUGAAUUGUGUGAAUUUAGUGUUUGUUUUUGAUAUUGUUGGAGUUUUAGUUGCUUGCAUGAGCACAAGGGUAGUGUUUUCCCCCCGUAGACCUACUUCUGUCUACAUCUUACCCCUGCUUACCCAUUAGAUGCCACCGAGGCGUAACUCUAGAGGCAGUGGUUCAGGAGACAACAACAACAAUGACAUACCACUAUACAUGCAGCAGCUGCUUCAGGGACAGACUCAGUUGAUCCAGUUACUUGUUCAGAACCAGAACCAGAACAACAACAACAACAACAACAACAACAACAACAACAAUAAUCCACCACCACCCCCAGUUGAUGCACUUACUCAUUUCUUGAGGUUGAAUCCUCAGAGGUUUUCUAGCACCCCUGAACCUAUUGUGGCUGAUGAUUGGCUUCGCUCAGUUAAUAGGAAUUUGGAGACAAUUGGUUGCACUGAUGCAGAGAGAGUGAGGUUUGCCUCACAUUUGUUAGAAGGACCAGCUGCAACAUGGUGGGACAAUUACUUGGUCACUUAUCCUAUUGCUACUAUCACUUGGGAGCAGUUUCGGGCAGGUUUUUGCGCCGCACAUGUGUCUUCUGGUGCCAUGAGUCUGAAGAAGAUGGAGUUCCGCAGCUUGCGUUAGGGAGGUCGCACUGUGAAUGCAUAUGUGGAGGAAUUUAAUAAUCUUGCACGCUAUGCUCCUAACGAUGUUAGCACUAAUGCAGCUAGACAGGAGAAGUUUCUGGAAGGACUGGAUGAUGAGUUGAGUAUCCAGUUGACAGUGGCAACAUUCAACAACUUUCAGGAGCUUAUUGAUAAGGCUAUUGUACUUGAAGGAAAGUUUCAACGGGUGGAGAACCGCAACAGGAAGGCAAGGGACACAGAGUUCAACCCCGGAGGACCCCGGAAGCACCAUAAUUCGUCAGCAUCUUCUAAGUACUAUGAUUCUGGAGUGGACAUUUAUAAUGGUCAUAACCAUGAUGUGCAUAAUCACCACAACAACAAUGGACACAACCAUAAUGGUCAGAGGAAUGGCAACAACGACCACGACCUUUCGACACCCACAAAGAAGGAUCUAAGCCAGUUACUUUGUUACAGAUGCAAGAACCCAGGACACUAUUCAACAAACUGUCUUGAGCUAAAGAAAAUGAAUUAUGACAAUGGGGAUUCUGGAGAUAAGGAGAUAGGUCACUUCGAAAGUGGACAUGUGAAUCACAUGAGGGUAGGAAGACCAGAUAAUGCAUCAGUCUUUGGUAAGAUUCUUAAUUAAGAUCAAGUAUUGUGUCCGUUCUUUCAGCAUUGAUGCAUCAUAUUUAGUCGUGUCAAGGGAGAUUUGGAAAUAUGCAAUGAGUAAGCCUCGAAAGUUUUGAGUAUGGAUUAUAUCAAGUACACAGCUUUAAACUUUGCUAGCCAACUCGAAUCUUGAGGACGAGAUUCAUUUUAAGGGGGGUAGAUUUGUAACAUCCUAGAUUUUUAAAAUUUGGAAUGUUAAUAGGAUCAUUCUUUUUAUCAUGAUUUCUAUGCUUAUUUAAAUUUUCUGAAUAGUUAAAGUGUUUUCCAACUCAAGGCAAUAUAUUUGGAGUGGAGAUAAUACGACUUCUCCCCUAUUAGUUAUACUAGUUGACCCGUUGCGCCAAAUGGCGCAGAGACCCGCUAAAGCCAUAUUGUCGAUGAAAAUAGUUUCAAUUUGCAAGGACAUUUUCGAUAUUGGUAAUAGAAAGCCCAUGUGUUAAAUCAUGCUAUAUUGACAAUAUGUUUAUCACGCAAGCAUUGCCUGCAUGCAGAACAUAGGAUAGCUACAUUUGUGCUUUCUUCUCAGACUCAGGUAAUUCCCGUAGAAGCUUAUCGCAAGAUAUUUUGCUUAUCUGAAGCUUAACACGUUAAUGUUAUUUCUAGCAUGGUUCAGCUAGCCUUCUCUUUGUUAUAGAUUCGACCUGACCAAGCAUUUAAGCAAGGCACUUAUAUAAUAGAGCAACAUCACAACAGUUGAAGUUAUUAGGACAAGGUUCAAGUGUAGCUUAAAAUUUGAACAAGUUGUAGUUAUUAGGACAAGGUUCAAGUGUAGCUUAAAAUUCGAACAAGUUGUAGUUAUUAGGGCAAGGUUCAAGUGUAGCUUAAAAUCUGAACAAUUAACUUUACUUCUCUUUCUCUUGCUGAAAAUCACAAUAGUGCAUCUGUGCCUACUUAUUUUGUGAGCAUGGCCAUGUGCAUGCCUAAACCUGAGAUUGUCAUUCUUUCUUUUUUUUUUGCCUCUGCCUACACACCUAAAUCAAGCCCGUAAGUUAGCAUGUCAUUUAUUUAUAAAGCAACACCACAUCAGUCUAAUCUUCCAAGAGCAAGGGCCUAAAAUAUUCAGAGAUGCGCAAUUAAGAUCAUGCUGUCACAAAUGAAUGAUAUGAUACUAAAUCUAUAAAGUUUGUUAUCCAAUCAUUUCCCUUCCAUAAUGAUGUUGCCAGUUUAAUUGGGGAUUUACUUAUCUCCUCCCGUCCAAUGCGAGGCAACCAUAGCGGCAACGCAAGAGGGCCCCACGCCGAAGGGCUGCGCCACAACCAAGCCCCCAACACCGUCGCUCAGCCAACAUACACAUGAUGCACGUUUCUAAUUUUGCAUUUUUCUUCUCAGAUUGUGCCGCUCAAUCUGCAUUGAUGCACACCUUUGAGCAAACUAUGUUGCAACUUUAUCACUUUUCAUAGAAGGAAAAAGCUCAUGAUUUCUCAGACUCGCCCUCCACCACCGGUUGUUAUCCCUUGUCCUCUGUUGGCCCUCCGACGGCCACGAUCCGUCAUUUGGAGCGCUGGGAUCUCACAUCUCGCUUCAAUGCCGUCGAACUUGACCACUGCUCUUCCACCACGCAACACCGAGUCGGAGGCUGUGGCACUACACAACAGCGAUCCCGCGGCCGCGGUGCUGCCCAUGCGACAUCAGCACCUACGGCCAUGGCACUACCUCAAUGUGACAGUGUCCCGGCGGCCUUGGUUCUGCUAGCCAUUCGAAGCUUCUAUCCUGAAGCAGAAUGAG